rnacentral:rRNA from 1 species
CGGGAGGCUUAACACAUGCAAGUCGAGGGGCAGCACGGGGUAGCAAUACCCUGGUGGCGACCGGCGCACGGGUGAGUAACACGUAUGCAACCUACCCUGUACAGGGGGAUAACCCGGAGAAAUUCGGACUAAUAUCCCAUAAUGAUAUUGAAAGGCAUCUUUUGAUAUUUAAAGCUCAGGCGGUACGGGAUGGGCAUGCGGAACAUUAGCUAGUUGGCAGGGUAACGGCCUACCAAGGCUGCGAUGUUUAGGGGACCUGAGAGGGUGAACCCCCACACUGGUACUGAGACACGGACCAGACUCCUACGGGAGGCAGCAGUGAGGAAUAUUGGUCAAUGGGCGCAAGCCUGAACCAGCCAUCCCGCGUGAAGGAAGAAGGCGCUAUGCGUCGUAAACUUCUUUUCCAGGGGGUGAAUGAUUCCGAUGUAUCGGGAUUUGACGGUACCCUGGGAAUAAGCAUCGGCUAACUCCGUGCCAGCAGCCGCGGUAAUACGGAGGAUGCAAGCGUUAUCCGGAUUUAUUGGGUUUAAAGGGUGCGUAGGCGGAUUGAUAAGUCAGUGGUGAAAACCUGCAGCUUAACUGUAGACUUGCCGUUGAUACUGUCAGUCUUGAGUGUGGUCAAGGUAGGCGGAAUGUGUAAUGUAGCGGUGAAAUGCUUAGAUAUUACACAGAACACCGAUUGCGAAGGCAGCUUGCUGGACCAUUACUGUCGCUGAUGCACGAAAGCGUGGGGAUCGAACAGGAUUAGAUACCCUGGUAGUCCACGCCGUAAACGAUGAUCACUCGCUGUUAGCGAUACACUGUUAGCGGCUAAGCAAAAGCAUUAAGUGAUCCACCUGGGGAGUACGGCCGCAAGGCUGAAACUCAAAUGAAUUGACGG